rnacentral:rRNA from 1 species
GACGUGGGGGCAAGUGUUCUUCGGAAUGACUGGGCGUAAAGGGCGCUUAGGCGGCGUGACAAGUCACUUGUGAAAUCUCCGGGCUUAACUCGGAACGGCCAAGUGAAACUGUCAUGCUAGAGUGCAGAAGGGGCAAUCGGAAUUCUUGGUGUAGCGGUGAAAUGCGUAGAUAUCAAGAGGAACACCUGAGGUGAAGACGGGUUGCUGGGCUGACACUGACGCUGAGGCGCGAAAGCCAGGGGAGCAAACGGG